CUGCGAAUGGCUCAUUAAAACAGUUGUAAUCUCCACGAUGAUCGACAUAAAUGGAUAUCCAUGGUAAUUCUGAGGUCAAUACAUGCCAAAUUCUUCGGAAAGCAUUCAUUAACAAUCAGAAUUAGCGACGAGACUUGUCUCGAAUUUGUGAUCAUAAUGAUUAUUCAGAUCGCAUUGCGACGAUUCGUUCGAGCUUCUGACCUAUCAGCUUUUGUCGGUAAGGUAUUGGCUUACUGAGGCUGUGACGGGUGACGGGGAAUUAGGGUUCGAUUCCGGAGAGGGAGCCUGAGAGACGGCUACCACAUCUAAGGAUGGCAGCAGGCGCGCAAAUUACCCAAUCCCGAAACGGGGAGGUAGUGAUAAGAUAUAGCAGCAUGGGACAUAUGUUUCGUGAUUGCAAUGAGCAGAAAGUACAACUGUUUGCGAUUAUCAAUUGGAGGGCAAGUCUGGUGCCAGCAGCCGCGGUAAUUCCAGCUCCAAUAGCGUAUAUUAAUACUGCUGCAGUUGAAGCGUUCGUAGUUGAGUUUCUUCUGGGAGUUGAAUUCGGCAGUAAUGCUGGAUUAUUCUCGGAUGUUGAUUUUCAAUUCAAAUUGAAUUUCGGGUGUUACUUUGAGUAAAUUGGAGUGUUCCAUGCAGGCAAUCGCCUGGACUACUCAGCAUGGAAUAACAAGAUACGACUCUGUCUUUCUUGUUGGUUUUAUGGAUCAGAGAUAAUGAUUGACAAGGGCGUUCGGGGGCAUUUGUACUUGCUGGAGAGAGGUGAAAUUUCUAGACCCAGCGAAGACAAACUAAU
rnacentral:rRNA from 1 species